rnacentral:rRNA from 1 species
GACGAAGGGGGCUAGCGUUGUUCGGAAUUACUGGGCGUAAAGCGCGUGCAGGCGGUUAUCCAAGUCGGGUGUGAAAGCCUUGAGCUCAACUCAAGAAAUGCACUCGGUACUGGGUGACUAGAGGACCGGAGAGGAUAGUGGUAUUCCCAGUGUAGUGGUGAAAUACGUAGAGAUUGGGAAGAACACCAGUGGCGAAGGCGGCUAUCUGGACGGUUUCUGACGCUGAGACGCGAAAGCGUGGGGAGCAAACAGG